rnacentral:rRNA from 1 species
AUUGAACGCUGGCGGCAGGCCUAACACAUGCAAGUCGAACGCGUGGCGGACGGGUGUGUUAUGUCUGGGAAACUGCCUUAUGGAGGGGGAUCACUACUGGAAACGGUAUCUAAUACCGCAUACCAUCAUAUGUGCCCAGAGGGGAUUAGCUAGUUGGUGGGGUAACGGCUCACCAAGGCGACAAUCCUUAGCUGGUCUGAGAGGAUGCCCAGCCACACUGGAACUGUGACACGGUCCAGACUCCUACGGUAGGCAGCAGUGGGGAAUAUUGCACAAUGGGCGCAAGCCUGAUGCAGCCAUGCCGCGUGUAUGAAGAAGGCCUUCGGGUUGUAAAGUACUUUCAGCGGGGAGGCGUUACCCGCAGAAGAAGCACCGGCUAACUACGUGCCAGCAGCCGCGGUAAUUC